GACGUAGGGCGCGAGCGUUGUCCGGAUUUAUUGGGCGUAAAGGGCGCGUAGGCGGCCUACUAAGUCGGACGUGAAAUCCCUCGGCUCAACCGAGGAACUGCGUCCGAUACUGGCAGGCUGGAAUCCGGGAGAGGGAUGUGGAAUUCCAGGUGUAGCGGUGAAAUGCGUAGAUAUUGGGAGGAACACCAGUGGCGAAGGCGGCUCACUGGACCGGAACUGACGCUGAGGCGCGAAAGCGUGGGGAGCAAACAGG
rnacentral:rRNA from 1 species